rnacentral:rRNA from 1 species
AGAUGGCGACCGGCGCACGGGUGAGUAACACGUAUCCAACCUGCCGAUAACUCGGGGAUAGCCUUUCGAAGGAAAGAUUAAUACCCGAUGGUAUAAUCAGACCGCAUGGUUUGAUUAUUAAAGAAUUUCGGUUAUCGAUGGGGAUGCGUUCCAUUAGGCAGUUGGUGAGGUAACGGCUCACCAAACCUUCGAUGGAUAGGGGUUCUGAGAGGAAGGUCCCCCACAUUGGAACUGAGGCACGGUCCAA